rnacentral:piRNA from 2 species
UAUGUGCAGAUUGGGGAACUUGCCG